rnacentral:rRNA from 1 species
GAUGAACGCUAGCGGCAGGCCUAACACAUGCAAGUCGAGGGGCAGCAUAGAUUGCUUGCAAUCUGAUGGCGACCGGCGCACGGGUGCGUAACGCGUAUACAAUCUACCCUAUACAGGGGGAUAGCCCGAAGAAAUUCGGAUUAAUACCCCAUAACAUUUAGAGAUGGCAUCAUCUUUAUCUUAAAGAUUUAUCGGUAUAGGAUGAGUAUGCGUUAGAUUAGCUAGUUGGUAAGGUAACGGCUUACCAAGGCAACGAUCUAUAGGGGUUCUGAGAGGAUGAUCCCCCACACUGGUACUGAGACACGGACCAGACUCCUACGGGAGGCAGCAGUGAGGAAUAUUGGGCAAUGGAGGCAACUCUGACCCAGCCAUGCCGCGUGCAGGAAGACGGCCCUACGGGUUGUAAACUGCUUUUAUUUAGGAAGAAACCCCUUUACGUGUAGAGGGCUGACGGUACUAAACGAAUAAGCACCGGCUAACUCCGUG